UAAUGAUUUGCAAAGGGCCUCAAAGAAAUCAUUGGUAGAUAACUGAGCGCGAAGGGUUGUAUCUUUGGUCCCGAAAAUAAGAAAGUCAAGGAGCUACCAAAAGAAGUUAGUACCUAAUCUUUCUUACCCACCAGCGAAAGUGAAAGACAUUAAAAAGGGACUGCAAGUGAGCAAUCUUACUCAGGAUAAAUGCUGAAUGAACUAUGCUAAAAUACUUCGGAUACUUAAAGUUGGUAACCAUGCAUCACCAACUUACCUUUUCUUCCUUUGUUAGUAUAUAUUAACAAAAUUAUGCAAAACAAUUAUUUCGUUGUGACAUCUUAAUGCAGAUAACCUUAGUUAAUGCAUUAACCAACCCCUUCCAUUACCCACUUUGGUACCCAACCAAUUAAAGUGCAUUCAGUGUCUUCUUUGGCAUAUUUCAAAUGUAUGAUUACUUCAAGAACUUCUGAGUUUUUUUUUUUUGUUCAGCAUCUCAAAUUAUCUGUUUCCCUCAGUUGCAUAACUAAAGCAGUACUGUGUGUUUGUUUUUCAGAUUCUGAAGUUCACUAUGGAAAGAUGGGAAAUUUUGCUUCCUACCUAGGGUCUAUGAAGAGUUAAAAAUGCUGAUAAGCAUAACUUGUGUUGUUUAUUCUCUUUUGCAUUUAAAUUUGAAAACUGAGUUUUGCACAGGAGAUGUAGCUCGGUGGUGAGGAUUCACUUAGCAUACUCAAGGCUCUGGUUGGAUGCCCAGCACCGGUUUGUUUGCAUCAGUGAAAAUACACGAUAUGCCUCUCUUAGAAGUUAAUAAAAUUCAACGGGUAAAUAUAUCUUCCUUUCAAAACACUAAGUACAUUGGUUUUUAAAUUGCCAAAACACAGUGGGAACAGUCAAAGGUGUAUGCAGAUGAUGGCAGUUAAAAAAAGUUUUCCAAGAUUCAUCUUAUGUUGUGAAAAGAAGCCAGGAGAGUGGCAAAAGCCAUUCUUGCAUAAAUUCAGCCAUCUAAAAGCCUCAGAAAUUUUGCUGUUCUUCUGCCUGGAAUGAUGGUAAGUACUAGAAAGGAAACAAAGUGCUUACCAUUUCCUUUCUGCCCUUAGGUUUAACUGUAGGGUUUAGGCUAAUGAAUCUUUAUAAGACAUUUAUAUGAGCAAUAAUCUUAGUUUGAGUUACUGUGGAAGACUGAUUUAUUGAAAGAAAAAUAACAGAUUGUUUAGAAAUAGUGUGAAAAAUGGGACCAAUAUAAUAUAAUGGAUUCUAUAAUUUGUCAUGUUAUUGAGUGCUUUGAAGUGUUUUAGCCUUAAAUAUAAUGGAUACUCAACCAUAAAUGUGUGGUAAAAAAUAAUUGGUAUAUUUUAGAAAGACUGUACAAGUUAAGUCUUGAAUAGGAAAAAAAAAUUUUCAUGUUUUUUUAGAAACAUAAGGCAAGAAAAGGAAAACAUUUUACCAGGGGAAAAAAUGUAUUUUCAGACCUUCUCUUUGAUUAAGGAAAAUGUUUGCCAUAGUGUACAUUUCCCUAAGUGGACACAGAUGGACAUACCAUUUGGAUUUGGCUACUGUGGGUUUGUUGUUUGUUUGUUUGUUUGUAACAAUCUUUUAAUUCAUUCCAGAUAAUAAGAAAACUUAUUUCUCAUAUUUUAGACAUUCUUAACUUUGAAUUGACAAUAGUUAGGAAAUGAAAGUCUCAGGUUAGUACCAUAGCUAUGGUAUUUGUAACAGUUUGACAUAGAUUUUGCUUCUGGAUUUACUAUCUGGCUUAAGGUAAAUGCAGCAAAUGUCUCAGUGUCAAAUUUAAAGUCUAGCUAGGCAGUAGUGGCACACACCUUAAUCCCAGCACAGGAGGCAGCUCAAGGCCAGCCUGGUCUAGAGACGAAAUUCCAGGAUGGCCGGGCUACACAGAGAAACCUUGCCUCUAAACUUAAAUAAAUAAAAGUCUAAAUGACUUCAAAUUAUUUUACCUAGAAAAGCAUCUACCACCUUUUUUCUCUUUUACCAUCUUAUUUCUCAGAUUUUAACAGGUUUGGACAAUUAAAGGGACACAUAGAACAUGUCUUUGCAAGAAGAUAUGCUGAUAAACCUUGUUGGUGAACAUAACCAUUUCAGGAAAUUUAGGUAUGCAGAGUUGCUCAACUGUAACCAAUUAUGUAAGUAGGUAUGUGUUCAUAGGCUUUUGAGAUGCUAUCUGCGGGAACUUGGUGUAAAGAGUAUUCCUCUUGAAUUGUAUCUUUUUUUAUAAACGGCUUUAUUGAAAUGAAAUUCACAUAUGCAGUUCACCUAUUUAAAGGGUGUAGUCCAAUGAGUUUUAGUUUGCUCAGAGUUCCAGCCAUCAACACAUUUAUACAAGAAAACUAUACAAAACCAUGCACUUGUAAGUAUGAGGAAAUAAUUGUGGAAAGAUUUGGAUCUUUCUCUAAAGAGGUAAUAUACAAAGCUUAUUAUUAUGAGUAAAGUUGACAUACAGUGCUUCAAUUACAGUUGAAAUACUGCAAGUAAACAGCAUGUUCCUUGUAUGUAAUUCGUGGGUUUUACUGGAAACACUAUUGUGGAAUAGGUAAGUGACAAUUAUAUGAUGCAACACUGUCAGAGUUGAGAAACCAUUGAGGGUGAUGCACUGUUUACAAUGAUCACUUUUUCUGUAUGAUUAUACUGGGUAUUAAUUUUAGUCUAAUGAGGCUAUUUCAUUUUCAAUGUUCAUGUUUGUGUGCCUUUCUAAAAUUCUGCUUUUUUUUUCCUAUUUCUUGCUGCUUUUGAGAUGGUUUCUGAACAUUUUUUCCCCAGAAGGCAUUGUUUUUCCAUGAAGGCUUACUAAAUUUGUUGUUUUUCAUAUAAACUAAAUUAACAAUAUAGUAAAAAGUCACCAGAUUUCAUGGUUUAAGGAAUGAAUCGUGGAAUAGAUAAAAGUGCAUGCCAAAUAAAGAUAAGAGGUUUGAAUCUGAAAAAUAAAUAAUGGCCGGGCAGUGGUGGCGCACGCCUUUAAUUCUAGCACUCAGGAGGCAGAGCCAGGCGGAUCUCUGUGAGUUCGAGGCCAGCCUAGUCUCCAAAGCGAGUUCCAGGAAAGGCGCAACGCUACACAGAGAAACCCUGUCUUGAAAAACCAAAAUAAAUAAAUAAAUAAUGGGAGGGACUGGCAGAAUUAAAAGGGUUUCUUUAAAGAUGUUAGAAGCAACAACCUAUUUAUUUUUAAAGGUUUAUAUGUAUGGAUGUUUUGCUUUCAUGUAUGUGCUUGCUGCCCAUAGAGGUCAGAAGGCAUCAUAUUUCCCUUGGAACUAGAGAAAUAGAUGGUUCUGAGCCACCAUGUGAGUGAUGGGAACUGACCCUGAUCUGCAAAAAUAGCAAGUGCCACUGAACCUUCUCUAUCUCACAACUUAUUUAAUCCCUCUCUUAGAAGAUAAAGUCCCAUCCUAAUUCAUUGCACAGUGGUCACCUACUUCCUAAAGGAAUCUGAGGACAUUGAGCUCCCACUCAGCUGAGAAAACCAGCCAAGGAGACGAUCUCUGAAAUACUUCUGCAAUCAUUUUCCUGCAUAAUGCUUAAUGGUUUGGCCAUUGGGCCUGAUGGCACUAACCUGUAAUCCUAGGACCCUGGAGGUAGAAAUGGGGAAACUGACUUGGAGCCCAGCCUAUACUGCCUAGGGAAUUCCAAGCCAUCGUGAGUUACAUGAUCCAAUACAGGUGUCUGGAACAUGUGGGUGUGGCUGUAUCUAGUGGACCUGGUACAUGCAUACUACAAGCUUGCCAAAAACACGGAGAAAGAAGAGCAAUAUUAGAGUAUAUUCAAUUCAAGGAGCAUCAUGGAGACAGUACAUGGCAAUACUCUGCUCAGUAAAUAAGCUCGGAGUUGUUUCUAAUGUAAGAAUAUCUUAGCAUCCUAAGGUUACAUUCUCAACAGAAAACAAAUAUUGACAUAUUUAGCUAUCAUUUUCAGUACUUGAUACAGGAAUUACCAUAGUUUUGAAAUGUAAGCUCAAAUCCAGACCAUGCAGGUAACUGAGCAGGUAAACCUGAGUUUGAAUCCCAGAACCCACUGUACAAGGACCUCAUGAAAGUUGUCCUCUGACCAUGUGUCUGCCAACCUGAACUCGCGCACAUAUACAUUAUACACUAACAAGUAAAAACAAGUCUGCCUGGCAGUAUCUGUUAACAAGGAAAGGAGGUGAGAAUACAACUGAUUGGUUCAACCUAAAGUCCACUACUCAAUCAGGAGGACACAAAAAGAAAAUUGCAUUCUUGAGUAUUUCCACUCUCUGCAUAUAACCCAAAGAGGUGCAGCAACAAUUGUCAAACAGACCUGGUGACAAAAGGCAUACCAUCUGGAUGGCUUCAUAAACAGCAGGACUUGGGAAGUUGGGGGCUUAGAGCUAACUUAUAGAUACUAAAUCCAUGUCUCAGAAAAUAAAUCCUGGUUGCUGGGAUUAAAGUGUAAUCAUCCAACUCUACUCCAAGAAAAAUAGUUGCAAAAUUUUGGAGCUUGUGCUUAUACCUCACAAUUCAACAGUUCUUAAUCCCUCCAUACACAAAUAUGUUUUCAUAUGCUUGUCCUGAAGGAAAAGCAAUUUAGGCAGAAACAUUCUUUGGACAAGGAAAAUAAUAAAGAUUUCUAAAACUGAGUGCCUUGUGAUCCUGGUGGCAACAGAGGUCAUAAGAGGUUGUUAGAUUCUCUGGAACUGGAGUUCUGGAUGGUUGUAAGCCCCCAGGUGAGUGCUGGGAACUAAAUGGUGGUACGCAAGAGUAACGUGUUCUCUUAACUUCCUAGCUCCAAAUUAAUUUUUAAAUUUUUUUGGGGGGGUGGGUUUCUCUGUGUAGCUUUGGAGCUUUUCCUGGAACUCACUCUGUAGCCCAGGCUGGCCUUGAACUCACAGAGAUCCACCUUCCUCUGCCUCCCGAGUGCUGGGAUUAAAGGCUUGCGCCACCACUGGCUAAUUUUUAAAAUUUUUAAUGAGGUCCGGAGGAAUAGUGUAAUGAUACUAUGCUUGUCCAAGGCUCUGGGUUUGAUCUUCAAAUGGCUACAUCCACUGAUUGGCCUUUUAUUCACAGAGAUCUGCCUGCUUCUGCUUCCCAAGUGCUGGAAUUAAAGCAUGUGCCACCAUGCCCAGUCCUGAUCUAUGUUCCUAUUAUCUAAUAAGGUUUUCUAUCAAAGCCCCAGCAAUAGAAAGGAUAUUUAAGGAUCUGCCUUUACACAUUCUAGCAUUAAAGCUCAACUAAUUGUGUAAGUAGGCGGUUCUGUGAUCAAAUUCUACAUAAUCUUUGCCUCUUACUUGUCCACUUACAUUUGUGAACGAAACUGUAUUGAGGAGUUGAGGCUGUAGCUCAGUUGGUAGUGUUUGCCUAGUAUGCACAAAGUCCUGUAUUUGGUCCCACCACUGCAAUAAACAGGCAUACCUGUAAUUCCAGCACUCAGGAGGCAAAGGCAGGAGAAUCAGAAGUUCAAGGUCUUCCUCGCCUAUUUAGUGAACUCAGAGGCUAGCCUGAGAUUCUGCUCUUUUUUUUUUUUUUAAGCUUUGCAAUAAAAUGUAUCACUAAGUUGUAAAUUUCCUUUAAAAUUGGGAACUAAACCAUUUCACAUUCCCUUUUGGGCUCAAAAUACGUUUUCUGUUUCUUCAGGAAAUAUUCAUUGGGUAUCCACUAGGUGUCAGAUAAUACAAAGAUAGAGAUUCUGGAGACAAUAUAAACAGAUAUCCCAUGAGAACCAAACAGCCUUACAAAGAGAUAAAAAUAGAUCUGCAGGCCAAAAGAAAGUUGUAUAAGUACUAUACUGUCAAUGGUAGAACUAUUAAUUUUAUACUGUGUGAUCAUCAAUAUCAAACCAAAUGCAUGCUGGCCUAGUUUAUGUAAAAAGCCUUAAGGACUAAAGAAGUCAGGUGACGUGACAGCACUAUCAGUAGGAAGUUGAGAAUAAUAAACUCAAGAUAAGCUUCCAUGCAGGAUGCUAGGAGUAUAACCUACAGUCUUCUAAGCCAACCACUUUUUCUUUAUUUGGUUCUGUUUUUGUUGCUUGCUUGGGAGCCUGAGGCUCUGACCUCUCUACUGUUAAAUUUAUCUUAAUUCCCAUCUGUCUUUCCUAGCUCUUGCUACUAAUUUGUCCAUUCCCUUAUUAAUGCAAACUUUAAUCUUCAAUAGAUUUUCUGCUACCAGGGAAGUAAAAAGGAAAAUUUUCAAAGAUAUCUCCCAUCAGUGAUGAAAUCUCUACCACUGCAAAGUUACACAGAGUAGUGCUGCACUGCGCCUGUCCUUGAACAAAAUGAGGAGCACUGAUAGACUAUGGAGCUCCUUUUUCUGUUUUUUGUUUGUUUGUUUAAUCUUAAUUUUUAAAUUGACAUUAGGUUUUACGCUCUUGCUAUAUGGUUCUGUAAAUUUUCACAAGUAACAGUCAUGAAAACACUACACUCAAGUUCCGGAGCAGCUUCACCCCCACAGCAGUCUCGUGUCACCUCAUAAUUUUUAUAGUUAAAGUCAUUUUUUCAAAAAGCCAUGUUUGAACGUUCCAUGUAUGUUUAUCCAUUAUUUUUAUUUUUGUUGGGUUUUUUUUUGGGGGGGGGGGUUGUUUUUGUUUUUGUUUUUUUUUGGUUGUUUUGUUUUUGUUUUUGU